CGAGCGAACGCUGGCGGCGUGCUUAACACAUGCAAGUCGAACGGCCUUCGGGUAGCAAUACUUGAAGGUAGUGGCGGACGGGUGAGUAACGCGUGGGCAACCUACCCAUAAGAGGGGGAUAACAGCUGGAAACGGCUGCUAAUACCGCAUAAGCUUACCGGGACACAUGUAUUGGUAAGUAAAGGAGGCUUAGGCUUUCGCUUAUGGAUGGGCCCGCGUCUGAUUAGCUAGUUGGUAGGGUAACGGCCUACCAAGGCGACGAUCAGUAGCUGGCCUGAGAGGGUGGACGGCCACACUGGGACUGAGACACGGCCCAGACUCCUACGGGAGGCAGCAGUGGGGAAUAUUGCGCAAUGGGGGAAACCCUGACGCAGCGACGCCGCGUGAGCGAAGAAGGCCUUCGGGUUGUAAAGCUCUGUUGUAAGGGACGAAGGAGCUGGGUAGUAACUGACCUGGCGGUGACGGUACCUUACCAGCAAGCCCCGGCUAACUACGUG
rnacentral:rRNA from 1 species